GCCCGGGUGGCGAAAUUGGUAGACGCAAGGGACUUAAAAUCCCUCGGUAUUUGAUACCGUGCCGGUUCGAUUCCGGCCCCGGGCACCA
rnacentral:tRNA from 1 species